AGUAUGUGAUAGUGCUAGAGCUCUGGGAUUGUACACAAGGACAUGUGUUAGGGAGCUGUGUAGUACCUCUCGCUUCCGUAGCCCAUCCCAAUUCUAAUUAAUUUAUAACAGACACAAUAAUUGUUACAAUAAAUGGUGGAAAAGGCUUGUUGUAACAUCAACAUGUUACAACAAACUGUUGAUAUAAUAGUCAUGUAGGAGAUUUGAUUGACAAUUUUUCUGGAUGUUUAUAAUGAGAUGUGGUCCAAAUGUGAAGCAAUUCCAAACUUAAUUUACAUUAGCGGUCUUACGAAUAAAUAAUAGUACUGUUCUGUCUCUCUGUAGCAGUAACACGUGCGCAGACAACAACAAAAAUUACAAACGUCGUUAUUCAGAGUAACACGAAGGGCACACUAAGUACUAUGGACAUAUAAUGCUUUAAAACGUUUUCCUAGAUUAGCUUCUUCAUGAUGAGAUCCACGAAAAUCAAAUGAAAGGUAGUCAGUUCAGCGUUGGGAUGUGGAAUCACGGAAAUCAUUAGGACAAAACAUCUUGGCACCAUCACAGUACCAAAGACGAUGUAGUCCACGAUUUCUUCUCCUAAGUUACUUCCCAUUGGAGAUCCGGGUUAGAAUAUAUUCUCAGUACCCCUUCCUUGUCGUAAGAGACGGCUAAAUGGGGCGGUCCUUCGAAAGAGACCGCAAAAACCGAGGCCCCGUGUCACAGCAGGAGUGGCACGAUUAAGAUCCCUCCCUGCCCAACGGUCGUAAGCGCCGAGCAUAUGCCUGAAUAUUUUCCAGUCCUUCACCGGCAAUGGUGACUUAUCCAUAUGAGUGAAAAAUUCUCGAGAGGGGCGUUAAACCAAGCAACCAAAACCUCCAAGUGACAGGAAAAUGACCUGUGUGAGAUUAAACAGUAAACUACAGAAGAGAAAGGCGGUGUUCUGAAAACUAACGGCGACUGCAGUCAUCGAAUAUAACGUCACAAACCAUGGUGAGGAAUUUGAAGGAAAUGUUAAUAUGAAAUUAAAAGAUUUUCUGUGGAAUAACCUGAUAAUGAAUACAACAUGGAAUGCCUCUGAUAACGAUGCGAACCCCGAUGUAACUCUAGAUAAAUCAAGGCAGGCGUUAAAGCUCUUUAUAUGGAAAUAUUACGAUUCUUCGUCUCUGCAAGGAUUGGCUGUGUUUAUUUUACUCAUUGGGACGAUCGGACUGAUUGGAAAUGCCAUUACAGUCGUCAAAAUUUUGUUCGACAAGAAAUUCCAUAAACCGACAUAUGCUGCCAUAGGAUGUCUAGCUGUCCCUGAUUUCUGUAUGAUCAUAGUCAGUUAUCUCGCUGGCUUCACAAAUAUUGACUCGUAUUUGCGCUUUAACUUCCCAUGUGAACAAUAUUUGAUUUCCAUGUGCGAUUUAUUUGAUGGUGUGUUUUAUUUAGCUUACUUUAGUUCCCUUGGUCAUGUUAUCUGUUUAUUCACCGUCCGAUAUUUAUUAACUGUACACCCCUUACAGAGUAGGAAACACGUGACAGCUUCGGUCGUCACCGGAAGUUCAGGAAUGAUGUGGUGUAUUAGUUUCGUAUUGUCCAUUACGGCAGUGUCAAUAAUUAAAUUAAAUGUACAUCUUACAACAGAUGAAUCCUACUUUGCCAUGGCUAUUCUGAGAGCUGUUGUAGGAUUCAUUCCAGUGUGCAUCAUAGUUACUCUGCAUUGUCUAAAAUUGAAAACACUCAGGAAUUCAUCUGUGCGCACCGGUAUUCGGAACCGAAUGAAUCUUGUCAUUGCAGUGAUUCUAUUAGUUUUUACUUCCUAUCAAAUCUUUGUUAUAUUCUUUCCCAUUUUAUGGGUACUUGACAUGACUUUUAACCUGGAAAAGUCCGCAGAAAAUACAUUUUACACAGUUAUGGAACUUUUUGGAUUUCUGCAUUUUUCAUGCAAUCCUUAUAUUUACUUUUUUAUUUCGUUUUGUUCAAAAUAAGUUGCAGAUACGUUUAUUUUUUUUUAGAAAUUAAUAGAAUUAAUAAAAAAAAAAAGCCUGAAAAACUUAUAUAGCGAUUUAUAUCACUUAAUGUCAAAACAAAAAGGUAAUAGUAUAAAUCAUUACCACAUUUCCAUUUUCUGUUCAAAGUAAUUAAAGUUGCAGGUACGUGUAUAUACAUGUAUAUCAAAGAAAAAGAAAGAUACAUUGAGAGAGAGGGGAGACAAAAAUAACGAUUUAUAUCACUAAAUAUCGAAAAAAUAAUUAAUAGGGGCCAGGAUUUUGUCAGUUUCGUUUUGAAUAUUAUGCUUUUGUUGACAUGCUUUAUCAAAAUGGAGAAAUAUUGACAAUUAUUGUGCGUAAUUAAUGAGGGCCUAAUAUUCCCCUCAGAUCCAGGAAAGUUAAUUCUGUAGUAUGGCUGAACUAUUAUAUACGUAGGAUAAUGUAAUAAAAAUGUCAUAAAGCUGAACUUUAAGUAUCGAAACUUAUACCCAUAUUACGUUAUCAAAUUCAUAAUCAAACCAAUAUUUCAUUUUCAAAAGAAACUUUUGAAAUCCAUGUUCAAUUAUGUGAGUUUUAUGAUUUGAUUUGAAUACAUUUUAUUGCAUAUAUACUAUUCAACAGGUGUGCCUUCAAACAACUCUCGAUGUUUUCAACUCAGACUAGUAUUUGAUAACAAUUGUCAUAAAGCAUGUAUACCCUAUUUAUAUAGGUUUGCCAGUACAACCUAUCAUUGGGUCAAAUGCUGUCCGACGUGUUUCAUAUCGAUUGCUAGACCGUUCUUGGUACACUGAGUUUGACUACGGAUAACUCCGUUUACCAGGCUUGAAUUUCUCGAAAAAAUCUCAAACUUAAGUUUGAAUUUUCUUCUAUUUGAUCAGUCAAAAUUUGAGUAAAAUCUCUGACUUAAGUCCAAGUUUCGACUUAAGUUCUUUUUGAGAAAUCCAGGCCUGAUCAAGAUAUAGGGCUCACGGCGGGUGUAACCGGAUGCCAGGGGAUGUUUACUCCUCCUAGAACCCUGCUCCCACCUCUGGUUUGUCCUGGGGUCCGUGUUUGUCCAACUCUCUAUUUUGUAUUGCUUGUAGGAGUUAUGAGAUUGAUGACUUGUUCGUUAUCUUCACCUUUCACAUGUACAUAUAGCGUAAAUAUAUUACUAUUACAAAAAUCUACUUAAGGAGGUACAGUCCCUGAAACGUUCUUCUUGGUGAGCGAAUGGUGAACGCACGGUGAACGAAUGCAGAGCGAACGGUGAACGAACGAAGCGCGAACGGUGAACGGUGAGCGAACGCAGAGCGCAAAGUGAACGAUGAACGAACGCUGAGCGCACGCUGAACGCAAAAUGAUCUAUUUACUCGGAAUGUUUCGAAUUUUUCCUUGGGAUUUUACUUAUUUCAUAAUCAAGUAAUAAAAUGCAUGUACAUGUAUAUUUCAUCAAUUAAUAAAAACAUAGAUAAACCGGAAUCGUGAUACAGCAUAUUUUACAGUUCUGGAUAUAUUCAAUGUAAUAUAUUUUUGUACAAGUACCGAGUAUACAUGUAUAUAUUUCACGAAAUUAUCGCAAAUUGUACAUGAAUACUCGCAACAGUCAUACACAAACAAAUUUAAAGCAAAUUUCGUAUGUACAUUGUGUAUAACAUUACAUGUACAUAUACAUUUAAUGCAUGGUAUAUAAACAAUGCAUAUGAAAAGGAAAACACUAUAGUCUACAUGUGUAGUGACAUCCAGAAUUAACAGGUGUUCAUGUAGGGCUUCAAACUUUACGAGCUCGAUCGUUUGGGAUACCUGUAAUUAACAAACACCCCCGAAAGGAGUCAAGAUAGAUGCAGUAAACAAACAAUACGGACGGUAUAACCCGUGUCAACACCUCAACAGUAUUAAAUACUCCUACUUACAUUUUGUGUCAUUCAUCUGUCGCAGCUACAUCGACCCGAGGAAAUAAUCAGUACAAAACUUUCUAGUUUUAUUAUUGAUGUGACCAUAGAUUGCAGUUAGAACGUGCAAUAUUUGUAUGUAUUUGAUGUAGAUUAAACUGUUUAUUAUACUGAACUAUCUGUAGAAUGUUUAAAGGCUAAUGCAGAAUCGUACCAGAUAAACAAUCACAUCUUUGCAUUAAGGACAAAUGUUACAAGUUUCAAAUUUGGCAAGAGCCUGACUCACUAGUAAAUAUCAAUUUAUUGACAAUAAAUAUAGGCGUAAAAAUAGCUAUAUCAGUUUGAUAUUCUGACACGUACAUUCGGUACAAUGUACAUUAUGUACAGUACACGACACGAGUUUUAUACACCCCACCGUGGAAUGACCACGGUGGAAAAUCCACGGAGAUACACCGUGUCCUCCGUGUUCCAUGGUGUGUGUUAUUUGCGAAUACACACAGCUGCUAAGAGCUUUGUUCUGGCCACGGGCGCCUUGCGGGAGAUGGGAAAAUGUGCCGCAGGCCAAAUAAUCAAGAUAAGGAUGGAAUUUUAAUAAAAGAAAAAAAUGUCAAUAUUUUCCCUCCUGAUACUGAUAUUGUUUUUCAGCAUUUUGAGCCAAUUCCAACGAUACCAAACACUAUAUAUUAUGUUUUUAAGAAAACCUGGUUUUGAAAUUUUUUUCUUUAAUAGUCUUCUUUCUUCAUUAAAAUAUUCUUAAAUUCUAUGUUUAAAUAAUGCGUACUUGCAAGCAAUUCCUGUUUUGAAUGCGAAUUAGUAUAUUCAGUAAAUGAAAAACAUACAUGUACAACAUGUGAUAGGGAUGUUUAAUAAUUACCGAUGUGCUCUCUCUCUCUCUCUCUCUCUCUCUCUCUCUCUCUCUCUGACAAAUGCGCUGUUUAACAUAAUUACUUCCAUCAUAUUGUGCUAAUAUGCAUCUUGACAAAUAUAACUUGAUCCAAUAUAGAAAUUAGCAUUGUCGAUUAUUAACAAUUUGGAAUUAAUUUAUUACGUAAUUAAUAGAAGCAAAAAUACAAACCAUCGAAUGAUUUAUUUUUAAAAUCCCGAGUUAAUUACAUUUGACCGAGACUUGUAUUCGAUGUACUUUGGUAGAGAUUUUCAUAACAAAAAAUGUUCAUCGGGAGUGUCUGGAUAAUGCAAUGAUUUUUGUAUAAUAAGUAUAUACCAUGCAAAUUCCUAGGAUCUUUGUCACAGUAUAACUAAAUUACGGUUAGCUAGUUUGGAUUUUGACUUCGUAAGAAAAGUGUGAAAUAUAUUCGGUCGGAGCGAUAUCAGAUCUAGUCUAAGAUCACGGGUAUUUUGCGCCGACCCAAUAUAUUUCACUCUUUCCGCAAGAAGCCAAACACUUCUGUUGAUUUCAAAUACACGGAUUAGCUGACCCCCAUUGUUCUACUGAGGCGAAAACCCCUUCGAAUUUGCAUGGAAUGUACAAGUUAUACACAGGUCAUUGUUAUAGUCAUACAUCAUAGUACCGCUAACCCGACAAACAUUUUUUUUUUUAAUUUUGAAUAAGUUAUUGAAUGGCGAAGUAUGACCAAACUGCAGAUUGAACUUUAUAGAGCCCCGCGCUAACAUUACUUAUAUUUUUCAAUGUAUCAGAAGGGGUAUGUUGCCGGUUAAGUUGUGUAAAUUUCUUGACAAGCAAUAAAAUAACAACAAAAAUGGUGCGUAAAUAACCUUAAAUUGGGAGCGUGUGUGUGUGUAGGGGGGGGGUUAGUAAUCUGAAACUGUCUCAAUUCCCCCUUCCGACUUCAAUUUCUUAAAUCGUGCAGUGGGUAGGUCGCUACAAGCUACAAGGCUACAUCCUUAACUUUCAAGUUUUCAAAUUACACCCUCUCCGAUUCUACGUGCCUGUAAUCAAUAUUUAAGGAUGUAAAUCCUCGGUGUCAAAUGCAACUAGUUCAUGAAAAAAAGACUAAUAUCAAUAUAAACAGAAAUGACGUAACGAUUAUUUGCUUUUAUUCAUAUACGCUAUCAAUUAUUAAAAUCUUUAAUUUAAUCUUUAGAUGCAUUAGAUAAUGAAAUUUUAAUAAUCGAGAGCGUAUAUGAAUAAAAGCAAAUAAUCGUUAAGUCAUUUCUGUUUAAAUAUUGAUAUUAGUCUUUUUUUCAUGAACUAGUUUAAUUUAAUCUUUAGAUGCAUUAGAUAAUGAAAGCAAGAUUAUCAAUCAUUGAUUAUAAUGUUCAUGAAUGUAUGCAGAUACGGGAAGUUUGAUACGCUCAAUAUAAAUCUUGAAAGUACAAUUUCUUUCUGAUUAAUUAUCCAUCCCCUUUCAUUCUGAUAUUGUUUUUUAUUUCCCAUUUUGUUUUCUUUACAUGUUAAAUUUUUGGGCUGGUCCGGGUUAGGACUAAUGGAUGAGUCCCCCCUUCUAAAACGAUGUUACGUGCUUAGCUGUCUAUCUCCUUCUCAGUCAAAAAUAAAAUAAAAUAAAUACAUGCUAUAUGUACUGCAACAUCAUUGGAUUUACUGGAUAAUUCUUCGAUUUCACCUUCAUAAUACAUGUUAAUGCAAGCGGACUAUCUAGGCUUCUUUUUUUCCAUCUUCGCUAGCCGAGAUUAUUUGUCCACGAAGGCAAAGUUGACAGAAAACCCAUUGCUAGCGGAGAUGAGAUGAAUUUUACCCCCGUAUUAUGUUAUAAUUGACCAAAACCUAGUACGUUUGUUUUACAACUUUCAUUUAGAAGACGCGCAAGUUUGUGAGUCACUGAAUAGACGAGAAAACGUCUGCAUUUUUAUUUCAAUCGUUGUCAACUCUAUACUUUGUGAUAUUUCAAGACUACAUGUACUCAAUUCAAUUUGUUGGAUCUCAUCACCAUUAUGCAAUGGUAUACAAAAAUAUAAAGACAAAAAGAUGUUAUAUAUACAUUUAGUAAAUAAUACAUGCGUGUAAUAAAGUAUUUAUCAAGUUAGGAAAAAAAACUAACUUAAAAAAACGUGUUAUUAUUAAUGUGAAGUAUGGGCAUUCUAGGUAGGGGAGCACAUUUUAUUUUAUUAUUUUCUUAAUGAAAGUACGGAGUUUUCUAAAGGUUUGUUUAAAAGUAAAGAUAUUCUUAAUAUUUAUUUGUUUAGGUGAUAAAAAUUUGAUUCUUUGCUCACAUUGCAUCACAGUGGAGUACAUAAUGAAAUUCAUCUCCAAUGUAAACAUGUACAUGUAUAUAUCUGACCUUAAUCACAUAUUCCUAAUUACAAUGAAAACUUUACGUAAAAAUAAACCAUUGCUUAUGGUACACAUUUCUUUGAACUGCUAUUUAUCAAAUUGAAAUUACUGGCAUGUGAUUGUCGUUGUUCAUGACCCUUCUUUUAUUUGGUGAAAUUGUGCUGCACGUGCCGUGAAACAAUGUACCGACGAGUGGUAGGAAUAACACAGGUGUUAUUAUAUACAGGAUGUCGAGAAUUUGGGCGUUUCAUAAAAAGGUGUGAACGUCUGCAGGGAAGUCUACAUACGGAUAUGUACCGAAAACACCAACGUAUCAUUAAACGACAAUUACAAGAAUUGAAUGAUUGAUAGCUAAUUUCUAAAUAAGUAAUGGGGUGGGGGCAUGCAUGCUGGCUAAGUGAAAAGGUUUUUGGGGUGAAUCAUUUCGGAAAUUAUUUCUUUGUUUUAUCACACGGAGGUACACGGUGGCAUCGACGGAGGUACAGGUGACAUCCACGGAGAUACGCGGUGGCAUCCACGGAGAUCCUCCGUGGACUUCAAUGUCUAGCUCGCGCGGAAAAAUAGGACUUCAAAGGUGCCGACAAUUUUAAAGGUCCACCGUGUUUGGGGCAAAUUUGUUCCACCGCGUUGCGUGGAACACGCAUAAAACUCGUGUCGUG